UUUCCGUAGGUGAACCUGCGGAAGGAUCAUUAUCGAAAAGCAAUCCGGGGGGGAUGCCACCGAGCGAAGUUUGGUAGAUCGUAGGGAUUGUCGCUGGCCUUUGGAAACGAAGGCAUGUGCACGUUCCGAGUUCUCCUUAGUCCUCCUUUGCCUUUCCUUUGGAAGACACUUUCUUCACACCCGUGCGCACAUUGUAGGUCUCCGCGAGGGGAUCUAUGUCUUCACAAAACUCUAUGUAUGUCCAGGAAUGUAUCUAAAGCGUCGAACGGCUCGGCUCCAUGCCCGGUCGCCGACGGUAAAGAACCAUAAUACAACUUUCAGCAACGGAUCUCUUGGCUCUC
rnacentral:misc_RNA from 1 species